rnacentral:rRNA from 1 species
CAGUUGGAAACGACUGCUAAUACCGUAUGUGCCCUAUGGGGGAAAGAUUUAUCGCCUAAGGAUGGGCCCGCGUUGGAUUAGCUAGUUGGUGGGGUAAAGGCCUACCAAGGCGACGAUCCAUAGCUGGUCUGAGAGGAUGAUCAGCCACACUGGGACUGAGACACGGCCCAGACUCCUACGGGAGGCAGCAGUGGGGAAUAUUGGACAAUGGGCGCAAGCCUGAUCCAGCCAUGCCGCGUGAGUGAUGAAGGCCCUAGGGUUGUAAAGCUCUUUCAGCGAGGAGGAUAAUGACGUUACUCGCAGAAGAAGCCCCGGCUAACUUCGUGCCAGCAGCCGCGGUAAUACGAAGGGGGCUAGCGUUGUUCGGAAUCACUGGGCGUAAAGCGCACGUAGGCGGACUUUUAAGUCAGGGGUGAAAUCCCGGGGCUCAACCCCGGAACUGCCUUUGAUACU